rnacentral:rRNA from 1 species
GGCUCAGGAUGAACGCUAGCUACAGGCUUAACACAUGCAAGUCGAGGGCAGCGCAGUGUAGCAAUACAGUGGGCGGCGACCGGCGCACGGGUGCGUAACGCGUAUCCAACCUUCCCGUUACUCUUGGAUAGCCUUCCGAAAGGGAGAUUAAUACAAGAUGGUAUCAGAAUUUCGCAUGUUAUUCUGAUUAAAGAUUUAUCGGUAACGGAUAGGGAUGCGUGACAUUAGAUAGUUGGCGGGGUAACGGCCACCAAGUCAACGAUGUCUAGGGGUUCUGAGAGGAAGGUCCCCCACACUGGAACUGAGACACGGUCCAGACUCCUACGGGAGGCAGCAGUGAGGAAUAUUGGUCAAUGGCCGAGAGGCUGAACCAGCCAAGUAGCGUGAAGGAUGAAGGUUCUAUGGAUUGUAAACUUCUUUUAUACGGGAAUAACAUCACCUACGUGUAGGUGCCUGCAUGUACCGUAUGAAUAAGCAUCGGCUAACUCCGUG